AGCUGAAUGAUAGUCGGGCGUGAAGACUCUACUUGACUAGCUGAGAGGAGGUGCAUGGCCGUCGUCAGUUCGUACUGUGAAGCAUCCUGUUAAGUCAGGCACGAGCGAGACCCACGCCAACAGUUGCCAGCUCGUCCUCCGGGAUGGUGGGGACACUGUUGGGACCGCCUCUGCUAAAGAGGAGGAAGGAAUGGGCAACGGUAGGUCAGCAUGCCCCGAAUUAUCUGGGCUACACGCGGGCUACAAUGGGUGGGACAAUGGGUAUCGACACCGAAAGGUGAAGGCAAUCUCCUAAACCCAUCCGUAGUUCGGAUUGUGGGCUGCAACUCGCCCACAUGAAGCUGGAAUCUGUAGUAAUCGUGUCUCAAAAUGGCACGGUGAAUAUGUCCCUGCUCCUU
rnacentral:rRNA from 1 species